GUGAGAUCCUUGGAACAUUUUUACGUCUCUUCUCCCUCUCCACCUAUAACUCCUAGGUUUUCCUGGAAUUCUCUAGGAUUUUAGUCCCAGAUGAUUACUGGAAUUUUCCUUGCUGUAUGUCCCUCCUGUUUCCAAAGGACUUAUGUAGCAUUUACACUACAUAACCCCCAGUAGCCAUGAAUAUCCACUUAACCUGUCUAUACUGGGUUCGUUUUUCAUCAGUAUUGUGUUUCCUCUCAUCUCCCUAUAUCUUGAAGUCUCAAUCUAACUCUCACUUUUGAAGAUCUUUGCUUGAUUAUUUUCUUCAGAUGGGAAUUGCUGGUGGUAUACUCUUCACAUUCUUUUGUGUUAACAGUUUCCUUCUUUUGCCCUGGUGGGUGAAUACCAUCUUGAAUAAGUAGAGGAUCAUAAGUUGUUUUCAGCUUAGCUAUUGGCAAAUGUCAUUUCCAUUGUCUACUGGCUUCCAAUGUUGACAGUAAGAAGUCAGAUGCCAAUUUUCCCCUUUGCAGAUAAUGUGUACUUUCUGUUGAUUAGCUUGUCAGCAUUUUGUUCUGUUUUUGUUUUAAACUUUCAGGAAUCUUACCAGGACAUGCCCAAGUGAGUGUUUUCCUUUAUCAAUCAAGUCUAGAACUCUGGGAGUCAUUUCAAUCUCUAGACUCCAGGGUCUCUUCAGUUUAGGAAUAAUUUUUUGUAUUACACACUUUAUAAUUAUUCCCUCUCCUUUGUUUCCUUUUUUCCUGAGAUUGGUAUCAUUGCUCAUGGUAGGUCUCCUGGAUCCAGCCCCAAGUCUCAUCUUUCCUCUUAUUUGUCCACCAUUUUGCUUGAUCCAUAUGGUUUUCAGGUGCUGGUUCCAUGGCUCUUCCUGAGCCGAAAAUAAGGAAACUCCAUAGACCUUGUCCACUGGAACUCGUUCCCAUCUACCCUCCACUCUAUCCAGCCCCAUGAGGACAAGGAACAUGAUUGGUUUUGCUCACUGCCGUAUCUUCCGUACCUAGUACGUAACAGGACAUCAAUAAAUAUUAGUUGAAUGGAAGAUUAAAUCAACAAAAUGGGUGAUGGAUCUCUGCAGUAAGUGGAAGAGUUCUUCAUGGCCCCCAAGGUUAUAUCCAUCUAGAACUUCAGCACGUAAUUUCAUCUGGAAAUAGUGCCUUUGCGGAUAUAAGUUAGGUAAAACUGAAGAUGAGAUCAUACUGGAUUAGGAUGGGAUCUAAAUCCAAUGAAAAUGUCUUCAUAAAAAACAGGAAAGAACCCAUAGAAACACAAGGAAGAAGGUCAUGUGAAGAUGGAGGCAGAGAUUGGAGGGAUGCAGCCACCGGCCCAGGAAUGCCAGCAGCCACCCAGAAGCUGGAAGGAAAUGAGGGAUUCUCUCCUAGAACCUUUAGAGAGAACAUGGUCCUGUGAACAGCUUGAUUUUGGACUUGCCCAUAGCUUGUAUACUCUUACUUUGGAUACAAUUUUAUCCAAACUUGGCUAAACAGUUUCUCAGCCUAUGGAAAAUUUAAAAUGGAGAAGAUUCAACUCGAUUCUUACAGAUUCAAAGCAAGAAAAUGAUGGGAACAUAGGAGGAGACCAAGAAAGCCUAUAAAAAGCAAAAAUAUGAAGUGAACAUUGUGGUAGCUUUAAGAUGUUUAGUGUAGCUGCAGGCACCCUAUACACAUGAAAACCCCCAAGGGGAAUCCCCAUAUCACAGUGUAGUGUGAUAUUUGACAUUCGUGAUCAUCUAGAGAUGUACAGAAAAGGUGAAUCUGUGUUCUGUAUAUUCUGCCUAAGGCAAAGAAAUGUUUAGCUCUCUUUAAAAUAGUUCCAUAAUUUUUUCUAAAAAGCUUUGCUUGAAAACUGUAAGCUUCCCAUAUCUGGAGCAUUUCACUUUAAAUAUUUGGAUAAAUAUGUUAUCUUCUUACUUGGACAUUUCAUGUGUUUAGGGAUUGUCUUCUAAAUUCUUCCUAAUUCAUAUAGCUGCUAACACUUCCCGCAGAGCUAAACCAUUACAGAUAUGAAAUAAAGACCUAUUGAUUUGACUUACUUUUACUUGUAAAACCUUCUGAGUGUUAUAACCUCAUUUAAUCUUUCAGCAUUUACAGUUUCAAGAGUUUGUGUCACAAUUAGAAGAAUUCAGCUGCACCUCCAAGUGACAGCAGUUGCUCUGGUUGGUGGGUGAUCUCAGGAGGCUUGAGAAUUGCUUUGUCUGUGAGGGAAGUAAGACAUUUUCAGAGCCCCACUUUAGAAGGUGUGAACUGGCUAGAUAAUGAACCCCAGGGCUAACGCUGCUAUAGCAGUGGGAAGGAGGUGAUGGGUUUUCAGUUUGGACCUCAAACAUCAAUACCCUCCUGGUACGGGGAGGAACAGAGUCCCUCCUUUACUUCUCCAUUAGAAAGAAUGAGAUGGCAAGACAAUGAAACAGGCAAAGUGAACAGAGAUGCAAGACAAAAUUCAGGUGAGAGAGCCAGAGCAUCACUCAGCCAUUCCUGACAUGUAAAACAGGCAACUAGAAAUUUGCAGAAAGGAAGCGAAGUCUCCAUAAAGAUGUUUUUAAAGUGAGCUUGAAGUAUUUGGAGACAAUUCAGUGUUACAUAAAAUCUGCAAAUCUCUGGAUAAAGAAGCAGAGAUCCCAGCAUGGGACAAAUGGAGCCUCAAAAGUGGGAAGAAGACAGAGAAGACCAGGGCAGAAUGCAUCUCUUCCUUUCUCUUGGCUUUCCUGGAUAAGGACUGCAUCAUUCCUGUGGAAGGACAGGCCAUCAGCUCCGAAACACUGUAUGUAUUUUCCAGUAUAUACUGCUAGCUGUGUGAUGUUGGGAAAAUUUGUUACCCUGUCUAACCCCCACUUCCCUCAUCUGUAAAAUGGAAAUAAUGAUAGUACCUACCUAUCUCAUAGGUGGCAACUACAAGGGGCAGCACACUCAGGGAAUUAAGGAAGUUUCAGUGAACAUCAACUUUAUGAACACAGUGUUCAUAAAGGCAGGUCAGUGCAGUGGUUUGGGAGCCAGGAGAAGCACGUGGGCCGGAGUGUGCCUGCAGGAGACAAGGUCAGAGAUGUUGCUAAUAAUGGAGAAUAAAGGAUGCAUUCUCAUUACUGACCUUGGAGUCGUUCAUUCAUUCCCAGAAUGUGUUUUGUCAGCUUACUAAAACACUAAGUUAAAUAAUCCCAGGUUUUGUUUAUU
rnacentral:lncRNA from 1 species